GACAGAGGGUGCAAACGUUGUUCGGUAUUACUGGGCGUAAAGCGCGUGUAGGCGGCUAAGUAAGUCGGGCGUGAAAUCCCACGGCUCAACCGUGGAAGUGCACUCGAAACUGCAUAGCUAGAGUCCUGGAGAGGAAGGUGGAAUGCUUGGUGUAGAGGUGAAAUUCGUAGAUAUCAAGCGGAACACCGGUGGCGAAGGCGGCCUUCUGGACAGUGACUGACGCUGAGACGCGAAAGCGUGGGGAGCAAACAGG
rnacentral:rRNA from 1 species